rnacentral:lncRNA from 1 species
GCUUUUCUCUUAUCUUUGGAUCUCCCAUAUGCAAUAAUAAACUCCAAUGGCCUUCUUCUCAUCUUAAUAAACAAGAAUGUUGGUAGCUUCAUAUUGAUACAAUAUUUUAAGAAGCAUUUUAACCUUUCUUCCAACUCAUUACAAUAAUUAUCAUUAGUGUCUAUAACAAUAGUACUUAAGAGAUGGAAAAAAACAAUAAUAACUAGUCAAAGCAUAUAAUAAUUCAAGACUACUUCCAUGUAAGUCUCUGCAUUGACCAGAAGACUUCCAUGUAAGUCGUCUACAGCCAGACGUACUUUAUGCGUUUUAGUUAUCUCGAGUAAGUUCUGAACUUGUCUAUCACUUGCAACAUGAAUAGGAGGAAGGUCUGGAGCCAUCUGUUGUAAUGGGUAGGUUAACUCCACAGAAUCUGUGUUCAUGUCCAGGUUAUAAUCUUCUUGAGUCAUUGCAACAAGAUCAGCAUGUGUCGAACCUUCACUCAAAAAUAACAUUCUCGCUCCUUUGAAAUGAUCAACCACAAAAUUCCAACAUCCAUCUUUCAACAACCAUUCUCCAUACACUGCAUGU